UAAAUAUAGGCCAUGGAAGCUAUUUGUGUU
rnacentral:piRNA from 1 species